rnacentral:snoRNA from 1 species
AAGACUAUACUUUCAGGGAUCAUUUCUAUAGUUCGUGACUAGAGAAGUUUCUCUGACCGUGUAGAGGAAUUGAAGGAGUUUCAACAAAUGAAA